UACGUAGGGUGCGAGCGUUGUCCGGAAUUAUUGGGCGUAAAGGGCUCGUAGGCGGUUUGUCGCGUCGGGAGUGAAAACCCAGGGCUUAACUCUGGGCUUGCUUUCGAUACGGGCAGACUAGAGGUAUGCAGGGGAGAACGGAAUUCCUGGUGUAGCGGUGAAAUGCGCAGAUAUCAGGAGGAACACCGAUGGCGAAGGCAGGUCUCUGGGCAUUAACUGACGUGAGGAGCGAAAGCAUGGGGAGCGAAACAGG
rnacentral:rRNA from 1 species